AAAUGCCAUUGGUAUCUGACACGGAGUCAAUUUUGUGAUUCCCUGUCUCGAAACAUGGCAGAAAACAAGCGGGAACGGACCUUUGCGACACUGGCUGCUAGUACUUAUGAGCUUCCAGUUACUUUAUAUCCGUUUACAUGG
rfam:Brachypodium distachyon strain Bd21 chromosome 4, whole genome shotgun sequence.